UACGAAGGGGGGCUAGCGUUGCUCGGAAUCACUGGGCGUAAAGCGCGUGUAGGCGGCAGCGUGUGUCGGGCGUGAAAUCCCACGGCUCAACCGUGGAAGUGCACUCGAAACUGCGCAGCUAGAGUCCUGGAGAGGAAGGUGGAAUGCUUGGUGUAGAGGUGAAAUUCGUAGAUAUCAAGCGGAACACCGGUGGCGAAGGCGACCUUCUGGACAGUGACUGACGCUGAGACGCGAAAGCGUGGGGAGCAAACAGG
rnacentral:rRNA from 1 species